rnacentral:tmRNA from 1 species
GGGCUUUCAAUUCGCGCGCACGCCCCCUAUAUUCGUUUCGUCAGCUUGCUGACUAUGGCGAUAAACAGGCGAUGCAAUAAGCCGUUCGGACCCGGGGGCGGUACCCGGCGCCUCCACCAAAAGCCGUCGAAAAGGACGGUUUCUGAUGGGGGCGAAAUAGGAUCGACGAAGGUGUAAAGAUCGUUCUUUUGCCCGGCAUUGUACCGCCGUUAUCGGGCUAAACUUAUAGUUGCCAACGACAACUAUGCUGAGGCACGUCUCGCUGCUUAAUGCGGCGCGAUAGUCUCGAAUCAAGUCCUGUGGGUUAGCACCUUCAGGCGGGGUCCGGAGGCACCUGGCAACAGAAGCCUCCACU